rnacentral:rRNA from 1 species
ACGGUAGCACGUAGGAAGCUUGCUUUCUUGCUGACGAGUGGCGGACGGGUGAGUAAUGCUUGGGAAUCUGGCUUAUGGAGGGGGAUAACUACUGGAAACGGUAGCUAAUACCGCGUAAUAUCGAGAGAUUAAAGGGUGGGACUUUCGGGCCACCUGCCAUAAGAUGAGCCCAAGUGGGAUUAGGUAGUUGGUGGGGUAAAGGCCUACCAAGCCUGCGAUCUCUAGCUGGUCUGAGAGGAUGGCCAGCCACACUGGAACUGAGACACGGUCCAGACUCCUACGGGAGGCAGCAGUGGGGAAUAUUGCACAAUGGGGGGAACCCUGAUGCAGCCAUGCCGCGUGAAUGAAGAAGGCCUUCGGGUUGUAAAGUUCUUUCGGUGAUGAGGAAGGCAGGUAUUUUAAUAGAAUACUUGAUUGACGUUAGUCACAGAAGAAGCACCGGCUAACUCCGUGCCAGCAGCCGCGGUAAUACGGAGGGUGCGAGCGUUAAUCGGAAUAACUGGGCGUAAAGGGCACGCAGGCGGAUUGUUAAGUGAGAUGUGAAAGCCCCGAGCUUAACUUGGGAAUUGCAUUUCAGACUGGCAGUCUAGAGUAUUUUAGGGAGGGGUAGAAUUCCACGUGUAGCGGUGAAAUGCGUAGAGAUGUGGAGGAAUACCGAAGGCGAAGGCAGCCCCUUGGGAAUAUACUGACGCUCAUGUGCGAAAGCGUGGGGAGCAAACAGGAUUAGAUACCCUGGUAGUCCACGCUGUAAACGAUGUUGAUUUGGGGAUUGGGCUUUAAG